GUGUCAGCCGCCGCGGUAAUACGUAGGGGGCAAGCGUUGUCCGGAUUUAUUGGGCGUAAAGAGCGUGUAGGCGGCCCGACAGGUCCGUUGUGAAAACUCGAGGCUCAACCUCGAGACGUCGAUGGAAACCGUCGGGCUAGAGUCCGGAAGAGGAGAGUGGAAUUCCUGGUGUAGCGGUGAAAUGCGCAGAUAUCAGGAGGAACACCCGUGGCGAAAGCGGCUCUCUGGGACGGUACUGACGCUGAGACGCGAAAGCGUGGGGAGCGAACAGGAUUAGAAACCCCAGUAGUCC
rnacentral:rRNA from 1 species